rnacentral:misc_RNA from 1 species
UCAGAAAGAAAAUCAAGGAAAUAUAGUUAUGCACACCAAGAACAACUACAUAAGGAUCUCCAAACAAAUUCCAUUCAAAUAAUAUAUAAUAGUGGCCGUUUGCGCUAGUCUCCUUUCAAAUUCAAACCUCAUUUACACUCCCUCUGCUAACCAUUUCGUCUUUACUCUCAUUUCUCAUCUGACACACAACUACAAUCCCAAAGCUUCUUCUAAAAUGUACAAGUUCCAGUCUCCCCUCACUGGGGACCAGAAACUACGUUCAAAAUGUGGCCGGAAACCUCUUCAACCCAAGAACUUCCCGGCCAUUCCAGUAACGGAUAAUAUUGAAAUUCUAAAGCCAAGUGAAGGAUGGAUUGAGAUUUCGGUGGCUAGCGAAUCGAACAAAGAAAACUAUCCGAUCUCUGCCAUCACGCCAACGAAGCUAGUCAUUGAGUCGUUGGAUGUGUCGCUGGCAGCGGAACUGAUAGCCACCAAGAAGGAGAUGGAGAGAUUGAGACUCGACAGAGAGAAAACAGAGAAAAUGUUGAAUGAGAGGGAGAAGGUAUUGGAUUUGCAGAUAAAGGAGCUGGAACAAAGAGGAGAGAUUCAAAAGACGCACGAGAUCGAGGUGGAUAGACUCUUCAGAUUGAAGGAACUACAAUCUUGGUCUAUGAGAAUUUCUCCAAUGCUAUCGCUACGAGAGAAGGAACAUGUGAAGAAGACUGCUCAAGUGCAUUGCCAGGUACAAUUUUUUCCCCUUUUUUGUGGUUUUCGCUCUACCAAAUUCAAACUCGAUUGUUCUCUGCAACGAGCAAAUGAGAUGUUAUUCUAAUGUAUACAGGGAACGAAAGGUGAGGAUAUGGAGGAAUCGGUGAGUGGAAGGGGAGUGAUGAGUCCACUUUUGAGUUCGAGUUCGAGUUCAAAUUCGGUUUCAUCGCAGCUUGCCGCCGUGAAAUGAUGUUUCUCUCUUCCGCAGUUGGCAGUUGACUUUUGGAGAUUAUCUUUGUGAUUUGAUUUUGUCUUGGUUUUUCUCUUUAUGUUACUUCUACAGUAUUCCAUUGUAGAAUUUGGAAAAAGAAAGAAGAUAUUACACUGCCUCUCAAUGUUGAAAUGAUUAGCCGCUCCUGUCUCUUGAGAUUCAGCUGCUGCUACUGUAUCUCAAUGUAGAAUUAUCAAUUACAUAUUGAAAUAGUC